rnacentral:rRNA from 1 species
CCUACGGGUGGCAGCAGUAGGGAAUCUUCCACAAUGGGCGAAAGCCUGAUGGAGCAACGCCGCGUGGGUGAAGAAGGUCUUCGGAUCGUAAAACCCGGUUGUUAGAGAAGAAAGUGCGGGAGAGUAACUGUUCACGUGUCGACGGUAUCUAACCAGAAAGCGACGGCUAACUACGUGCCAGCCGCCGCGGUAAGACGUAGGUGGCAAGCGUUAUCCGGAUUGAUGGGGAGUAAAGGGAACGCAGGCGGUCUUUUAAAGCUGAUGUGAAAGCCUUCGGCUUAACCGGAGUAGUGCAUUGGAAACUUGGAGACUUGAGUGCAGCAGAGGCGAGUGGAACUCCAUGUGUAGCGGU